UACGGAGGGGGUUAGCGUUGUUCGGAAUUACUGGGCGUAAAGCGCGCGUAGGCGGAUUAGAAAGUUGGGGGUGAAAUCCCGGGGCUCAACCUCGGAACUGCCUCCAAAACUGCUAGACUUGAGUGUGGUAGAGGUAGAGGGAAUUCCUAGUGUAGCGGUGAAAUGCGUAGAUAUUAGGAAGAACACCAAUGGCGAAGGCGACUGGCUGGGCCAAUUUUGACGCUGAGAUACGAAAGCGUGGGUAGCAAACAGG
rnacentral:rRNA from 1 species